rnacentral:lncRNA from 1 species
GGUAACCUCGCGGUGCUUCGUCACCCGUGCGGGCGUCUGGGGCCUCCUCACAGCAGGUAACCUCGCGGUGCUUCGUCACCCGUGAGGGCAUCUCGGGCCUCCUCACAGCAGGUAACCUCGCGGUGCUUCAUCACGCGUGAGCACAUCUCAGGGCCUCCUCACAGCACAGGACGUUCGCGUUCGGGAGCUUCCCAGCGCUCACUGAAAGUUCAGGAACUUUUCCUACGUCGUCGAAUACGCAGUGGCCCUCCGACACGUGUUCUGCCUCUGCUUGUCUUGCCGUGGGGGCCGGAACGCCUGCCUGGAACCGAGCGAGCCCGUGGAAGAAUGGCGGUCCCCUAACUGGCGCCCCUGAGUGGGAAGAUCCCGGCGAGUGAUGCAGAGCGGCCUGCGCCUGCGGGAGGCGUGGGGAGCCGGACUCCGGCCCGGCCGGUGCCUGUCCCCUGUGCGGGGCGGAGGAUAAGGGGAAACCCGGAUCGGGAAGCGCGGGAAGGCUCUACUUCGGCAACACGGGGCCCCAGGAGGGGUGAUCUUGCCCGGCCGUCAGUGGUGGAGCGCCUCCGAGCCGGUGGGCAGAGGCGGGGGCGAGGCCGACGUCGGAUGAGGGCCAGGGAGCCCGGGCUGAGAGCCGCUGGGCGGCUCAGAAGGCAGUGCUGCUCUAGAACGCAAGUUCUGUGAGUGCAGGGGCUGUGUCAUUUGUUUCUUUAACACCUUUGGCCUAGAGCAGUGCCAAGCACUUGCUAGACUGUGAGGUUUCCAAGGGCAAGAAUAUUCUUUGGAUCCCGAGAAGGGGGAGCAGACACGCUACCUAGCCCUUAGUCAGCACUCAAUGGGGCAGUUGGAGCUCAGCAAGAAUAAAUGACUUGUUCAACAAAGAUGCUAAUUACAGGCAGAAGAGUCUGCAUGGUUAAAAUAUGUGUCCUACUUCUGGAAGGUCUUCAUGGCACUUCCCAGUCUAACCCACCCUAAACUGUGGAUUUCCUGAUUGCUUAGUUUGGUAAGAGCACCUCAAGGAACAACAGUUGAGGGUCCUCUACUCCAGCCCUUUUCAGAUUCCUUAAUCCUAUCUAGAGGGAAGAGGUGGGAGGGAAUGGGAGACAUGUUACUAUUUCUGCGUUUGUCGGGCUCUGAGACUGCCCUUUGCACGUCCACCCUUGGGGAAAACCUUUGCUCUGCAUUUUAGAGUUUUGUCUAUUUGAUAUCAGGAGGCCCUGGGAUGCUCAUGUGUACCCACACUGCAUAAAGUAGUUCUCAUCUGCCAAGUAAAAGGUCCGUUUUGUUCCAGAAAGAAGACGAAAGGGGGGCCCAACGGUGUGAGUGCAGCAAAGUGUGCCUGGCCUCUUUCCGGCGCUUCACUUUGGGACCCCGGAGCUCAGUCCGAGAGAUGCUGUGGGUCAGGGCUCCAUGAGCUGGCGCGGGUGGUGCACCCCCUGGCUCCCAGCUGUUUCAUGCAUCCAGGAGCUAUGUGCGGGCGGACUCUGGCUGUGACUCCAGGCCU